GCGGCGUGGCGGGGCCGCGGCGCAGGAAGGGCGGGGGGCGCCCCUUUGCCCCGGUUGCGCGGCUGCGCCAGGCGCCUGAGGAGAACAGGGCGGGCGCUGCGCAGUCACCGCCGGGGCGGGGAACGGCGCGGCGGGCGCGGGGCCGCCGCCGUGAGGGCGCUGGGAAUCCCUCAGCCUGGGGGGCGAGCGAAGCGCAUUGGCGCUCGAUGAAAACCCGUCUGGAGGGGGAGAGAAGGAAAAGUUUCCUUUUAAAAGAAGAUUCAUUCACUUAAAAGUCUUUUAUAUAUAUAUAUAUAUAUAUAUAUAUAUAUAUAAAGUAGGCGAGUUGCUCGGGAGCUGCGAAACUUUUAUUCCGAUUGAUUAAAUGCCAGCGUCGUCAGAACUGUUUACACAACCGUGGAAUAAUGAGAGAGCAACGUUUUUAGCCUAGUGCAUGUGCGAAAAUAGGCCACUCUUAAGACUGGAAAUAAGGCACCAAAGUACUAAUUAAGCUUCUUAAUUGGGAAAAAUAAUGUCUUUCUCGGGUGUAUGUUAACUCCUCACGUUGCUCAGAUACGUGAACACGUAUAGGUGUCAGGACAGUCAAUACUAUGUAAGAUGCCAAAGUUAGUGCUCUCUGUGCGUGUCCUAAGGGUUUUUCCCCUCUGCCCGCAGCUAGGUGUGUGGUUUCGGGGGUUCCGCGGCGCCGUGCGGCCUCUCACUUGGCUCGCUCGGUUUCUUCUGUGCCAAGUCUUCGGUCAAACACCAUCCUGGAGCCACGCUCACCUCUGAAGAGAUGGUUCCCCCCCCUCCUCCAAGCAUUCCAGAAUUACCAUGUUGGAAAUAUCUGAGGUUUUGGCAGCUUGCUGUAUUACAAAUAGUUCAUGAAUACAAUUAACCAUCCUUGAGUAGCCUGCAGCAGCAGCAUCCAAUCCUUGCCUUACUCGUCAGAAAUAUAAUUAUUCUUCCACAGUAAUUCCACCAAACAUUUUUUGAGAUACUGGCCUUACUCUCAGACAGUGAAAAUACUGAAAAUGGAGUUUUUCACAUUAUACUAGCUAACGAUCUGGCCACAGCUUUUGGGAUGACUGUAGUGAGAUAGUAAUUCCAUCUUUAUUAAUGUUUUAUAUGAAAUCAAAACUGAAAAAAACCCCACAAACAAAAAUGUAUUGAGUUCUUAAAGUAAUUGCAUUUAAAGUAUCAUUCUUUUCAUCUAAUGCAUCAGCAUUUUCUUAACACGAGUUCCUAUUGCAGACCGUAGUAAAAGAAAAGAUCUUUUAUAUCUUAAUGGCUUAUUGUACUGGCAUUCUGACAUUAUGUUUUGGCUGAUCAAAAAGCUUUUUAUCUGAUCCUGUGCUAAAGAACUGCAAAACAAAAAUAAUGCAUGUUUUCAGACUUUUCACUUUAAAAAAAAUGAAAUACAUUUCUUGAAAGCUGUGGCAGGUUUGUGCAUUUGGAAAAAUACAGAAGGCAUCUUCCCUGCAUAUAGUCACUCAGCGUCUGAAUGAGGAAGUAAAUUCCCGUAUUUUGCAUUCAACUUCUGAAAAUACUUGAUAGAUUUUCCAUGCUUAUGUGCUACUUUUUUGUCUGCAAAUGAGGUUGACCAUUUAUAUUUUACUGGUCUUCAUGUUACUUGUUUUAUAGAUUUACCACCAACUGUGUGCUAAUGUAUUGUGCAGUGAAAGUAAGGCAUUCAGCUGCAGUUUCUUUGGAUGUACUCAUCGCUGCUUGUCAUUACUUGUGACAACAGAAAUUUGAAAACUGUUGUAUGAACUAAUGGCAGAAAGAAGUACUUCCUACUCUGAGAGCACUGCCCCAUUUGUUUUACAAAGAAAACCUUAGCAAUAGCUCAGCUGAAAUUUAAUAACUGCCUAAUUUUACUGGUAUCAAUGUUCUCAUCCAAAGUGAGUGAAAAGUGCUUUUUUUUUUGGUGAUUUUUUGCAGAUUUUGAGAGCAUGACACUCUGUGUCAACUAUUCUGCUUGCUAUAGUUACAUGAGCUGAUAACAAGCUUCAGUGAUUUCUUGCAGUUUUUUAUAUCCCUAGGUGCAGAGGUCAUUUUAACUGCACACAUUUUUCUGGCUCACCAUCCCAUUUCAAGGGUUCAUUUGAAGCAGCUCUCAUGGCAGGUAGCCAGGUUUUCAGUUUAUGCAGUGGCAGGUUAAAUCAGUAUACUUCUUUGCUUCUGAUGUUAAUGUUGGGGGAUUUUUUUUUUAAUUCUGUAAUACUUAUGUUCUCCAAUGCAUUUCUCUUAUUUUCCAUGGUGGUAGGUUUUGUAAUAUCAGCUGAUAUUAUAUUCCUUUGGCACACCUAUCAUUUGCAUGCACAUAAAGCACUGAAGGUGCUCAUUAUUUUCAGCUAACAAGUAAUCUUGUUCCUACUUAAUUUGAGAUACAUUGUUCUCUGUAUUCUAAUUUUGGCUUUCACAGUUACUUGCCUCAUUGCAUUUGGAUUACACUGUACUAUGUUUUAAUUCAUCAUCGUUAAAAUCUGCAAGAUAAAACGUCAUAAUAAACAGAUACAUAGAUACAAUCGCAACGGAAACAUAAAAGCAAGUAGGUAGGUUAACAUGAUUUAUCACCUGGAAAGUAUGUCAUCACAGGCAUAGUGAACAGUAUGGGACUGCUUUAUUAAGUAGAAGCUCAUCAUUUCAUGGAUCUUACUAACUUCCCAGGGCUGAAUAGAGAGGGUUGUAUUGAUGUGUUUCUGCACUCGCAUGCAAGAGCUGGAGAACCCUCUCCAGACAGUCUUACUGCAGCAGCCACCCAUUCUCAGAAGGAGGUGUGAAGGUUCAUCAGAGGUUCACACACCUGCAAUCGCCGCAUUUUCACCCUGGAGCUGCUGCUGGCCAAAUACGUCAGUGCGAUUGCCAAGUGAUGGCAAACUGCUCCUUCACAUGGAAGCAGCAACUUCUGCUGAGAGUCUCAAGACCUCGCAGAUCUCUUUUUGUGAAUUCCCUGGAGGCUGUGUCCCAGUUGUUAUGAAAUACGGGUUUAUCAUAAUAAAUAUCGCAUCAGGAA